rnacentral:rRNA from 1 species
GACGAACGCUGGCGGCGUGCCUAAUACAUGCAAGUCGAACGAGAGCGACCGGUGCUUGCACUGGGCAAUCUAGUGGCGAACGGGUGAGUAACACGUGGGUAACCUGCCCAUCAGAGGGGGAUAACAUCCGGAAACGGAUGCUAAAACCGCAUAGGUCUUCGAGCCGCAUUGCUUGAAGAGGAGAAGAGGCGCAAGCUUCUGCUGAUGGAUGGACCCGCGGUGCAUUAGCUAGUUGGUGAGGUAACGGCUCACCAGGGCCGUCAUGCUGAGCCGACCUGAGGGGGUGAUAGGCCACCUUGGGACUGGGCCACGGCCCAAAGUACUACGGGAGGGAGCAGUAGGGAAUGUUCGGCAAUGGUCGCGAGUAUGACGGAGCAACGCGGCGUGAGUGAAAAAGGUUUUCGGAUCGUAAAACUCUGUUGUUAGAGAAGAACAAGUGCUAGAGUAAAUGUUAGCGCCUUGACGGUAUCUAACAAGAAAGCCACGGCUAACUACGUG